AGACUCCUACGGGAGGCAGCAGUGGGGAAUAUUGCACAAUGGGCGAAAGCCUGAUGCAGCGACGCCGCGUGAGGGACGACGGCCUUCGGGUUGUAAACCUCUUUCAGCAGGGACGAAGCGAAAGUGACUGUACCUGCAGAAGAAGCACCGGCUAACUACGUGCCAGCAGCCGCGGUAAUACGUAGGGUGCAAGCGUUGUCCGGAUUUAUUGGGCGUAAAGAGCUCGUAGGCGGUUUGUCGCGUCGGAUGUGAAAACCUAUGGCUUAACCAUGGGCCUGCAUUCGAUACGGGCAAACUAGAGUUCGGUAGGGGAGACUGGAACUCCUGGUGUAGCGGUGAAAUGCGCAGAUAUCAGGAAGAACACCGGUGGCGAAGGCGGGUCUCUGGGCCGAUACUGACGCUGAGGAGCGAAAGCGUGGGGAGCAAACAGGAUUAGAUACCCUGGUAGUCCACGCCGUAAACGUUGGGCGCUAGGUGUGGGGAACCUUCCACGUUCUCCGUGCCGUAGCUAACGCAUUAAGCGCCCCGCCUGGGGAGUACGGCCGCAAGGCUAAAACUCAAAGGAAUUGACGG
rnacentral:rRNA from 1 species